rnacentral:rRNA from 1 species
GACACGCUGGCGGCGUGCCUGACACAUGCAAGUCGGACGGUUCUUGCACCUUCAAGCUUGCUUGUUGGUUCAAGGAUAGUGGCGGACGGGUGAGUAACGCGUGAACACCUACCCAUUGGAGGGGUACAACCCGUCGAAAGGCGGGCUAAUACCGCGUAAGCCGUGAGGUGAAAGGCUGCUCUUUGGUGGCUGCCGAUGGAUGGGUUCGCGUCCUAUCAGCUGGUUGGUGGGGUAACGGCCUACCAAGGCUAAGACGGGUAGCCGGUCUGAGAGGAUGGCCGGCCACACUGGAACUGAGACACGGUCCAGACUCCUACGGGAGGCAGCAGUGGGGAAUCUUGGGCAAUGGGGGAGACCCUGACCCAGCGACGCCGCGUGAGGGAUGAAGGUUUUCGGAUCGUAAACCUCUGUUGUACGGGAAGAAGGAUGUGACGGUACCGUACGAGUAAGCCCCGGCAAACUACGUG